AUUCGACAUAAGGGUUGACUUCUACUAAAACCGUAGGUACCUAACUAGUGUAAGGUCAUCUUAUAAAUAUAGCUCAGUUUUUUCUUUAAUGUAAAUAGGGGAUACAAUGUGGUGUAAUACACUAUCAGCUCCUGCAGAAUGGCCGAGUAAUGUUACUAAGGUUGGAUCGCCGCCAAAUGCAGAAAUAUUCUCUUUUAUCCACAACAAUGCCAUGUACUGGUCAAGAAGAGCUAAAUUUCCUCGGGCAAAUGCACUCUUUAGAUUAAAAAAAGACAGAACACCAAGCCUGUAGGCGAUUGUAACUACUACGACGCCUUCUGCAGCCAAUUCCUGACAAGGCAGGUUCAAACUUCCCCCGUUCCAUGAGUCACUGUAUAAUAUUACAAGUACUGGCUGAAGUUGACCAUCUGCUCGCUACCUGGAAACUAACUAAUACUUACAGCUUGCUAUUACAAAUAACUUUCGUAAACGCGCCAAUGAUUUGUUCCUUAAUACCUAGCUAAUAAGAGAUGUAAUGUGCUGUAGAUUUUAUGAAAUAAAUAAAUAAAAUUGAUUCCUUUA